rnacentral:lncRNA from 1 species
AUGCACUGUUAAGAAACACAAAGGGAUAAAACCAACAAACUGAAAAAGGGAAGAAAGAAAAUAAAAAUUAGAAUAAAAGAACACAUUAAAGCAUAAUAAUAUUGAAGUUGAAAAGAAGAUAAAAUUGGUGCUGGUCCUAAUGCUCAACACCACGAGUAAAUGCUGCUAAAAAUUUCUAAAAUAGGAUCUAAAGCAAAAUCCAAAGAAAAAAGAUAAAGAGAAUAGAAAUAAUACAGCUCAGG